AACGACUCUCGGCAACGGAUAUCUCGGCUCUCGCAUCGAUGAAGAACGUAGCGAAAUGGGAUACUUGGUGUGAAUUGCAGAAUACCGUGAACCAUAGAGUCUUUGAACGCAAGUUGCGCCCCAAGCCUUCUGGCCGAGGGCACGUCUGCCUGGGUGUCACAAA
rnacentral:rRNA from 1 species